rnacentral:rRNA from 1 species
GAUGAACGCUGGCGGCGUGCCUAAUACAUGCAAGUCGAGCGAACGGACGAGAAGCUUGCUUCUCUGAUGUUAGCGGCGGACGGGUGAGUAACACGUGGAUAACCUACCUAUAAGACUGGGAUAACUUCGGGAAACCGGAGCUAAUACCGGAUAAUAUUUUGAACCGCAUGGUUCAAAAGUGAAAGACGGUCUUGCUGUCACUUAUAGAUGUAUCCGCGCUGCAUUAGCUAGUUGGUAAGGUAACGGCUUACCAAGGCAACGAUGCAUAGCCGACCUGAGAGGGUGAUCGGCCACACUGGAACUGAGACACGGUCCAGACUCCUACGAGAGGCAGCAGUAGGGAAUCUUCCGCAAUGGGCGAAAGCCUGACGGAGCAACGCAGCGUGAGUGAUGAAGGUCUUCGGAUCGUAAAACUCUGUUAUUAGGGAAGAACAUAUGUGUAAGUAACUGUGCACAUCUUGACGGUACCUAAUCAGAAAGCCACGGCUAACUACGAG